rnacentral:rRNA from 1 species
UACGUAGGGCGCAAGCGUUUGUCCGGAAUUAUUGGGCGUAAAGAGCUCGUAGGCGGUUUGUCGCGUCUGCUGUGAAAGACCGGGGCUCAACUCCGGUUCUGCAGUGGGUACGGGCAGACUAGAGUGCAGUAGGGGAGACUGGAAUUCCUGGUGUAGCGGUGAAAUGCGCAGAUAUCAGGAGGAACACCGGUGGCGAAGGCGGGUCUCUGGGCCGAUACUGACGCUGAGGAGCGAAAGCGUGGGGAGCGAACAGG